rnacentral:rRNA from 1 species
GGAUGAGAUGGCGGCAGGCCUAACACAUGCAAGUCGAGCGGUAACAUUUCAAAAGCUUGCUUUUGAAGAUGACGAGCGGCGGACGGGUGAGUAAUGGCUGGGAACCUGCCCUAACGAGGGGGAUAACAGUUGGAAACGACUGCUAAUACCGCAUAAUGUCUACGGACCAAAGAGGGGGACCUUCGGGCCUCUCGCGUCAGGAUAUGCCUAGGUGGGAUUAGCUAGUUGGUGAGGUAAUGGCUCACCAAGGCGACGAUCCCUAGCUGGUCUGAGAGGAUGAUCAGCCACACUGGAACUGAGACACGGUCCAGACUCCUACGGGAGGCAGCAGUGGGGAAUAUUGCACAAUGGGCGCAAGCCUGAUGCAGCCAUGCCGCGUGUGUGAAGAAGGCCUUCGGGUUGUAAGCACCUUUCAGUCGUGAGGAGGUAGUGUAGUUAAUAGCUGCAUUAC